UCUCAAGAAAAGAAUUUUAGUCCCACCUAAAGCGACCUUUAUUUACAUAAAUUGCCAUACCACUUUAGAGCAAAUCAAAUGAGGUACAGCCCAUUUGAUGCAGGAUACAACCUCAACUAACGGGUAACAUAAAAUCUACACCUUUAAGUAGGCCUAAAAGCAGCCAUCUCUUAAAAAGCGUCAAAGCUUAAUCACGUUUACAUCAAUUUAAAAACCCCCAUUGACCCCUUUAACCAUAUUGAGAAUUUCUAUAUCAUAUAGAACCUUUUAUGCUAAAACUAGUAACAAGAGAAAACUCUCUCCCAAUGCAAACACAAGCCAGCAAGAACCCCACACUGGCAACUAACAGACAACAAAAGUAGCAACCAAACUAGAAAACCCUACUUCUCACAACCGUUAACCUAACACAAGAGCAUUUCAAGAAAGAUUAAAAGAAAAAGAAGGAACUCGGCAAAUGCUAGUCCCGCCUGUUUACCAAAAACAUCGCCUCUUGCGCAUAUAAGAGGUCAAGCCUGCCCAGUGACCCUGUUCAACGGCCGCGGUAUCCUAACCGUGCAAAGGUAGCGUAAUCACUUGUUUUCUAAAUAAAGACCAGUAUGAAAGGCAUCACGAGGACUUAACUGUCUCCUCUCUCUAAUCAGUGAACCUAAUCUCCCCGUGAAGAAGCGGGAAUAAUUAUAUAAGACGAGAAGACCCUGUGGAGCUUAAAACAUUAUAACAUCUGCCACUAACUUCCAACAUCCAGAUGCUCCUCUAAACAGCACUUUGAUUUUAUGUUUUCGGUUGGGGUGACCGCGGAGAAAAACUAAUCCUCCACGAUGAAGGGGACUUCCUCCCCAAACAAUAAGUCACAUCUUUAUGUAUUAAUAUAUUAACAUCCAUUGACCCAAUAAUUUGAUUAACGAACCAAGUUACCCCAGGGAUAACAGCGCAAUCCACUUUAAGAGCCCAUAUCGACAAGUGGGCUUACGACCUCGAUGUUGGAUCGGGGUACCCUAGUGGUGCAGUCGCUACCAAAGGUUCGUUUGUUCAACGAUUAAAACCCCACGUGAUCUGAGUUCAGACCGGAGCAAUCCAGGUCAGUUUCUAUCUAUAAAAGAGCCAUUUUCAGUACGAAAGGACCAAAAUAGCAUGGCCAAUACCCCCUGCAAGCCAUAAUUAGUCAUUUUAGGGCCCCACUUAAAAAAUAAUUAAUCUACCCAACACUUCAAGAAAAGAACA
rnacentral:rRNA from 1 species